rnacentral:misc_RNA from 1 species
GCUUAGUUGAGUUGAGUUAAGUAAUAUUCACAUUAUAAUUUUUAACAUUAUAAAAUGAAAUGUAUAAUAAUUAAAGUUAUGUCUUAUUAGGUUAUAACGUGAUAUUGUCCAUGUGAAAUGUUAAGAUUAGCCUAGUGGCAAACAACACAAUCAAGUUAUUCCAAGUCAAGGUUUCAAUUCCCCUCUCAAGUAAUUUUCAAAAUUUUUUAUAUGAACACAACAAUGUGGCAGACUGUUGAGCUUCCAUGUCACCAUUAAAAAAAUUUUCUAACCCAUGAAACUCCUUCAGGGACGAUUAACCCACUGGUUACCUUCUCAGUUAAAUGGGUAAAAACUGGUUCUUCAAAAAAGCAGGGUUUAAUGUCAGAACAUAUCGGCCUUAACUCCGGUUCCUCUAUGACUAGUUGGUUUGGUGUAGUUUUGACAACAUAGAGCUUUAGUAAUACCCAAUAUUCAAAUUGAGGGCUUCUAGUUUUGUUUUUUAAAAUUUAAACCAAACCUUUUAGCUUUUAUUCAAUUGAAACCUCAAUUUUUAAUAUACUUGAUUCCAU